GUCAUCAUGGGUGAAAGCAAAUGAAGUAUGUUUGUCCAACAAAACUUUGCCAGCGACACUAAACAGCAUAUUUAAAGGAAAAUUUAGUAUUGAGUUGAAUCAACCUCAUUGGACAGGCGUCAUCCGAACACACACAGUGCUGAUGGCAAACGAUAGAGAUUUUAUUACAAGACCUGGAGAACGGACAUAUUCAUUCGUGACAAAUAGUGGAAAAAUCUAUUUCGAAGGAAGCGGGAAUAGAAGCAGUCUUUGUACAGCGUCACCAGCCGCAACAACAACACCAACGUUUAACUUGUAAACGACAAUUAAUCUUACCGAAG